CACUCUUUGUAGCACUGACUGUCGGUAAACUGUGAUUUACUUACCCAGAGGGACCUGUCAUUAUCUGGGAGAGAGGCGCUAAAACAGGGCUGAGGAGGGGCUGGGCGGGGGGGUAGGGAAGAGCGAGGCUGGAGCAGAGUGGAGGGAAA